AAGGAAUUAGUUAAACAAAAUAACAUUAGCUUGUCAAGCUAAAAUUAUUGAAAUUCAAUAUUCCUUA
rnacentral:tRNA from 1 species